UACGUUUAGAUGUUGAGCAUAUAAAUUUUUGAGAUUUAAGGGUUAAACUACUGUUUAAAAAUGUAA
rnacentral:tRNA from 1 species